rnacentral:rRNA from 1 species
UACGUAGGGACCAAGCGUUGUCCGGAAUCAUUGGGCGUAAAGAGCGUGUAGGCGGCUUGUUAAGUCUUGCGUGAAAUCUCGGGGCUCAACCCCGAGCGGUCGUGAGAAACUGGCAGGCUAGAGUGCGGGAGAGGAGAGUGGGAAUUCCUGGUGUAGCGGUGAAAUGCGUAGAUAUCAGGAGGAACACCUGUGGGUGUAGACGGCUUUCUGGACCAUUGC